rnacentral:sRNA from 1 species
UGAACACAGGUGGCGAUGCGGCACGAUUU